rnacentral:rRNA from 1 species
UACGAAGGGGGCUAGCGUUGUUCGGAAUUACUGGGCGAAAGCGCACUAGGCGGAUAUUUAAGUCAGGGGGUGAAAUCCCAGAGCUCAACUCUGGAACUGCCUUUGAUACUGGGUAUCUCGAGUACGGAAGAGGUAGUGGAAUUCCGAGUGUAGAGGUGAAAUUUCGUAGAUAUUUCGGAGGAACACCAGUGGCGAAGGCGGCUCACUGGUCCAUUCU